GAGCCCCCUCCUGGAGUCAGACUACAUAGGGUCUGCAGAGACUCCCUUUUGUAUCUGUGACUUAGGGGCUUUGGGACAGAACAGUCACUGUUCCACACUUGCUUGGUGAGGGACUGGCCCUCGGUGGCAGGAUGGUUUCCAUGUAGCUGCCGUGAAAGAGAACUACAAACAGAGCUGCUGCUUUCCUUACAGGCUGAGGUGCCCUAAGGAGCUUUGCUGAGAAAAGCAGAAGGAGGAGGCCAGCUGUGGGAAUCAGGCUCCCGUACUCCUAGAAGCGAGUUUUAUCUGAAAGCUCUCACAGGGAGUGUCUUUCCCUAGACUCUCAGCUUCUCUUUUCACUGUUGCCCUCCCUGUUCCUGUGUGCCUCUGACCCUCAGAUCCAACAUGGACAUGGUGCUCUAUGUGGGCAUCUGUAUAUUCGUACACACACACACACACACACACACACACACACACACACACUCACACACACAAACACACAGAGAGAUAGACACAGACUGAUACAGACACACACACAUAGAGACACAGACAGACAGACACAAGGAGAAAGACAGACAGAUACACAUACAUAGAGACUCAAACAGACAGACAGACACACACACGGAGACACAGACAGGCAGACACAAGAAGAGAGAGACAGACAGACACACACACAUACACAACACACAUGGAGACACAGACACACACACUCACACACACAUUCACACACACAAACACACAGAGAGAUAGACACAGACUGAUACAGACACACACACAUAGAGACACAGACAGACAGACACAAGGAGAAAAACAGACACAUACACAUACAUAGAGACGCAGACAGACAGACACACACGGAGACACAGACAGACAGACAGACACAAGAAGAGAGAGACAGACAGACACACACACAUACACAACACACAUGGAGACACAGACACACACACUCACACUUACACACAUUCACACACUCACACUCACACACAAACACACAGAGAGAUAGACACAGACAGAUACAGACACAUACACAUAGAGACACAGACAGACAGACACAAGGAGAGAGAGACAGACAGAUACACAUACAUAGAGAUGCAAACAGACAGACACACAUACACACACACACACAUGGAGACACAGACACAUACAGACACACACUCACACACACAUACACAGAUAGACAGAUACACAUACAUAUAUGUACAGAGAGGCAGACAGACAUACAGACACAGACAGACAGAGAGACAGACAGAUAGAGAGACAGACACAGAGAGACAGAUAUCACACACACACACACACACACACACACACAGAGCAGGGUGGGGUGGGGAGGAAGAGAGACUGUAGAGACAGAGAAGGGGAGAGGAAGACAGACUGCAGAAGCCUGUGAUAUGAAAAAGUCAAGACACGUUUAACAUUUUCCUUACCGCACAUGGAAUGCAAAACACUAAGUAGAAAGUUCCAUGUCCUCUCCCCCAUAAUCUGGCUCCCAGCCACACAAGGUUUCUCUGGGUCUCUGACUGCCUGAUCACCUAGGUGGCAUCCUUCCACACAUAGCCACAAGGGUUCCUUCUUCCCCAGACGAGGUCACACUUGGUAAAGUCAACUCAUGAAGUCCACAGAUCCCUCUUAGAGGGCCUACGAAUCCAGAGGCACCCAUUUCUUAGGUGGUUCUGACCUGUUUGCAUAGACUGGACAGCUCUGACAGGCUGGGCGUUGCCUAAGAGCGCCCCCUGGGUGCUGUUGAGGGAACUGCUCCGGAGAACUGACUAAGGGAAGAGCAGGGCUGAUGCUGGAGAACCAGGCUGGGGAGGCUGGCACCUGUGGCCUUCCUCCUUAGUAGGCCCCAGGGAAACACAUUGUAUAUUAGUCAAGUCCCCACCUGCUGGCCACCAUGACCCACAUGUUCUUGCAUUGCUGGGGGGAGUCUGUACUCCUAUUUCCCUGAGCCCCUGUCACAGUCAGCUGAGAACUAAUGAGUCUUUCACAAUGGGGUCCACAUGGAAUCGAGGCUUGUUUACGUAGCCACAAGGAAGCCCUUGCCUCCACUGAGGCCUCAUCUUUCUGUGUCUCUGUGGCAUUUAGUAACAAUUCCUCCUAGUUCCGGACUGUGGCUUCCUGGGUAUAAGGGAGGCCUUGGGGCAAUCUCGUGCACAGUCAGUCCUUCUUAACACUGGUGUCUCUGUAGGGCCUGGUUGCCUGGGGUCCGUGUCAUAGGAAUAGUCACGUACUGGAGCUGAGGCAGAAAAAUGCAUAUAGCCAAGUCUCUGGACCAAAGUUUCUUCCCUCCAUUGUGAUGGGGCAGAGCAGUACAGAGGCUCCUCCAUCUUGUAUUCUUGCUGAGGCUGUUUCCUGGAUCUAAUUAGAAUCUUAUCUCGGGGUUGGGGAUUUAGCUUGGUGGUAGAGCGCUUGCCUAGGAAGCGCAAGGCCCUGGGUUCGGUCCCCAGCUCCGAAAAAAAGAACCAAAAAAAAAAAAAUCUUAUCUCCUUAAUGGAGAGUCCUGUGGAACACUACCCAAGUGCAUUCUGGAAGCCAAAGUCAGGAUGUGCAAGCUCACAGCCUUUAUUAAGACUUGCUUGUUUGUGUGGAACUUUCUCCAGCUGACCAUUCGCCUUAGCUACCUAUUUGUGUAGAAAGCCCCUCAGGCUGGCUGACCACUUACUUUAGCUUCUCUUAAAACUGCUUACUUCAAACUGCUCAGUCUGCGAAGGCCCCCUGCCGCUUCUGAGCAAGGUGCCCAUACAAGGCCUCAGCCCUUAAACACUUCAUGUUUUGGACACUUAGGGCAACACCUAGAUCUCCGAACACUUUGGUGUGGUCCCAGCUGGCCAAAAGACUUUCCAUAGGCUAUGAACUUUGAGUGUUCAUCUCUGGUGGGCUACCACCAGACUAACAUCAUGGGCUAACAUCAUGACUUGGCCACAAGAACACAGAAGACAGAUAGGACAUCAUUCUUGUCCUGUGUGUGAGAAAUGAUCUGGGCAGACGCUGUACUGCACUGUGAGAAGGACUGGCUGAGAUGGCUCUUGAAGGGAGGCAGGUGUUUCUACAUGGAACUGCUUCACCCUACACAGAACUCAGUACCCCUCAGAGGAUGCCUUUCUGAGGAGGAAUAUGGCGAGGGGCUCUGGCCUCUGUCCUGAGGGAGAUCUACUCUAUGCCUUGCCAGAAAUCAGUGUGUAUUCCCAGAGCCGGGACCAGGUGUGGCUCAGGAUAGAAGAGUGUCUUCUAGAAGGUAUGUCCUGUCCUGUCAGGCCCUGUCACAGACUCAACUGAGGCUGGGACUAAAGAUGGAGCCAAACCCAAGCCCAAGAGGGACCGAUUUAAAGGCCCAGAACCAGAGUUAUACCUGAGUGAACAGUGAUGGGUGUUGGUGCGGACCUCCUGUGAAUGGUGGUAACUCCUGCUGUCUCCAGGCCUCGGCGUCAGGAAUGUGAGGUAGCAUGUCGUGCCUAAGGACCUCAGGGAUGUUUAACUGGAGCUAAGGGAACAGAUGAACCAUGCACCCUGCUAGAGCGUGUUCUUUCUUGUGUCCCUUCGAGACGAGUCAUGUUGGGGUUCUUCCCCUUGGCUCCUCCCCUUAAGACUGAGACCCUGCUGUGGUCAGGGUCCUCUAGCUUCCUGUGUUAAAGCCUUGUUUACCAGGGUGGUGCCAUCGGGAGGCUGUGGAACCUUUAGAAGAUGGAACCUAGUGGAGGUUCCCUUAGGUCUUUGAGGCACGCCCUGGAAGAGAUUUAGGGACCCUGACUGGUUUUUCUCGUUGCUUCCUGAUUGUGAGGUGGACAGUUUGCUUUGCCUUUCACUCUAGGUCAUUACCAUGUGGUGCCUUCACCAGAAUUCCAAAGCAAUGGACCUGGGCAAUCUCAGGCUGUGAGAUAAAGGUUUUAAAAAUUAAUUAUCUCAGACGUUUCAAUAUAGUGAGUAUUGUGUGCCCAAGAGCUACAAAGUAGCGGCCCAUAGAGGCUGGGUGGGCCUUAAGGAAGGGAGGGUUCAUGAGGCCUAAAAGCUUGACCACAAUGAGCCCACUAGUCAUCUGUCUAAAAAAGUGUCUGUCAGUGGAGACGGAAAAGGGAAACAGUAUUACUGUGUGAGAACAGUGUCUCCAUUAAAGGGAAAAUGCUCUGGCGCUCUAAGGGGCUUUGGCUCCAGGAAGCAGCCCGUGAAAGCUAGCACGUACUGGAACUGAUGAAGCCUCAGGGCGGCAUGCCUAGCCUGAAGCAGAUUUGGAAGCUGGGAGGCAGAGCGUGUGUCCAGGUGGUGAAAUCAGGAGAGCACAGGGCCACCAGAAUGUACCCCAUGCCUCCCAAGAGCUCAGCCGGGAGGGAGCCCGUGAAAAGGCUCGCUGACGUCAGUGAGCCCCGACUCUGUGUCACGGGCUUUUUAAGCAGCAGAGCAUGAAGUUGGCUCUGGAGAGGAGUGAUGGACGUACCAUGGUCUUAGAGGCCUGACUUCGAGGCCGGGCUCCAAUGCUGAGAAAAGUUGUUCCAAUUGGCCAGGCGGUCUGGCACUGCCUGAGAAGCCAUUCAUGCUUCUCAGAGGUGUGACACUCAAAAACUGACUUUCUGUCAUUCUGAAACUCCUACAGGAGAUGGGUUUGAAAGGCAUGGGAAUCUCCUUCCAGGCAUCUCUGGAUCUGUCCAGACCUUCUCCAGAGAGGGUCUAUGCUACUUGCCUCCCAGGACCAAACGCUUCCCGGAUUGACUGGAUGUGACAGCUGCAGCCCUUGUUACAGAUAGUUAGAAGACUCAGUUCCAGGAAGUAGUCUGCUACCCCAAGGGUGACAUUAUCUACAGUUCUGGAAUGUUCUCUGUGCAGACUGUGCCUGAAGAAAUGACAUUUCCUCCCAGGCUUAAAGGAGCAAGGCGCUGGCGUCUUACUUGAGCAGUGGAUUGUUUCUAUGCUCUGGAAAGUGAGAGACUGACAUUGUUUUUUUGGCUCAGAGUCCCACGGCAGACCAGCCACAGCAAGAGAGCCCGUGUGUCCGCCCAGUCGUCAUUUUAUAAUAUUUAAAGUGAUUUUUUUUGUCAUUCAGAUCUUAGUCUUAUUAUAAAAGAAAUGACAGUUAAAUUAAAAGUGGUUUAACAAAAACCACUAGUGACCUCAGGAGCCAGAAAUGGCCAUAGGUCACAUUUUGGUGUGUGUCCUUCUGGUCUUUUAAAUCUUUUAUACAUUUGUAAAUGAAAAGCACGCCCCCAAGGCCCCACUCGGUACAUUGUGAAUGCCUUCUCUGGCCUUUAGUUGGUUGGGUUUUAUGUUCCAAAGAUGCCGCCAUGGAGGCUUGGGAACAAGGAAGGGAUUGAGGGCUGAACUGUGAACUGCGUCCCCUCAGGAUCCACAAGCUGAAGCCCUUACCCUAGCGCUUUGGAAUGUGAGCACAGGUCAGGCUUCCUGUGGCUGACAGAGAGUGAUAGCCAUCCUGAGGAUGUCACAAUGGCUCACGUGCCACGUGCCAAGCUCACAGUGGACCAUGGAUCCAGGUCUAGUCUGCCAUUUCCAGGGAUGUGGAGGGAAAUCCUGGAACCCCCAGAUUGAUGUGGGCAGACCCUGCCACCAAUGCCUCACACUGCAAUCCCACUGUGUGCCUCCUCCUUCUGACGCUGGGCCCUCUUCUGGGUUCUGUGGGCUCCAAGGAUACAGGGCUUGGCGCUGCUUCUUGGCAGCCAUUUGGAUGUACCCUUCAGGUAGGAAUAGGGUGCUCCCCUCCAGAGUUGUCUGCCCCUAGGUCAAAGAGUUGGGCAAAUCCUAUUAUGUUGGCAUUGUUCCUGUUGAUCUUGCAGUUUUCAGUCCUUGGUUGUGUGGGGUAGUGUCAUGGUUCCUGCCUCUAUGCUGAUGAUGCUAUAAACCAUAAAUCUACUAGAUGUGGAAAAAUGAACCAGUCCCUAAAUAACACCAUAAUGCUAUACACUGGAUGCACAGCUCCCUCCAUUAAAAGACAAUCUCAAAACUGCAAUUAAUCUGCACUUGCCAACAUUUAAUUAAAAUUGUAAUCUAAAAUACCAGACUAUCACCAGUGUUUUGAGCAUCCUAAGAAACAGACUCCCACCUGAUAGCAGUUACUCAAGCAAGUUCCAGUGUGCCCUGGUGUCCACAGGGAAUUGCUCCAAGACCACCCAUGGACCGAGUCUAUGGAGGUGCAAGUCCCUCACAUGAGGUCAUGUGUUAAGUAAGUGCACGGAACCUGAAUCCUUCCUCUCAAAGGCAUCAAAUUCUCCCUGACACAGUGACACUCCGGAGAUGCUCUGUAGGUAGUUGCUGUCCUGUAUUGUUUGAAGAGAGAAAGGCAGGAAAUAAAAUUGGCACUUGGUUUGCCCCAGUCCACAUCCUUCCUAACCCUUUUCCCUUGAAGUUGAUUAGCAUUUUAGAUCCUGUAGCCAUGGAGGGCUGACUUACUCGAUUUACUUACUGGACGCUGAAGACCAAGGGUUCCAACUUCCUCACUACUGCGGAGCCAGUCUUCCUAUUUGUGUGUGUGUGUGUGUGUGUGUGUGUGUGUGUGGUGUGUGGCAUGUGUGGUGUGUGUCUCUGUGUCUGUGUGUGUGUGUGUGUGUGUGUGUGUGUAUGUGUGUGUGUGCGCGUGGUGUGUGGCAUGUGUGGUGUGUGUCUCUGUGUCUGUGUGUGUGUGUGUGUGUGUGUGUGUGUAUGUGUGUGUGUGCGCGUGGUGUGUGGCAUGUGUGGUGUGUGUCUCUGUGUCUGUGUGUGUGUGGUCUGGGGUGUGUGUGUGUGUGUGUGUGUGUGUGUGUGGUCUGUGGUGUGUGGUGUGUCUGUGGUGUAUGUGUGUGUUGUGUGUGCAUGUGCAUGUGGUGUAUGUGUGUAUGUGUGGUGUGUGUGAGUGUGUGUGGUAUGUGUGUGUGAGUGUGAGUGUGGUGUGUUGGUGUCUGUGUGUGUGGUGUGUGUGUGGUGUGUUGGUGUCUGUGUGUGUGGUGUGUUUGUAUGUGUGGUGUGUGUAUAUGGUAUGUGUGUGGUGUAUAUGUGUGUGUUGUGUGUGUGUGUUGUGUGUGUGAGUGUAUGUGUGUGUAUGGUGUGUGUGUGAUGUGUGAGUGUAUGUGUGUGUGUGGUGUAUGUGUAUGGUGUGUAUGAGUGUGUGUGUGUGUGUGUGUGUGUGUGUGUGUGUAAGCUUUAUGACAGGCUGUAGAACAAUGAUUCACAGAGAGACAAAGAUGAUACUCAGUUUAGCCUUAAUCAGCUGAUGCUGGGCCAGCUUUCUGGAGUCUGACCCCAGGUAGUAUAUUCUAGCCAUAUUUAACCUCAACCUCCUUUUGGAAACUAGUCUCUUGAUGACACUAAAUUCAGUCCGGUGCAUAAAACACAGCUUAAGACAUGUUUACAUCGAUGCUGCUCACAAAGUACAUAUGGCUUCUUCCAUACAGAUGGGUUCUGUCGUCUCAGAAGCAGUGCUGAAGAUAAGGAGCUAUGGAGAGUGACUGAGGAUUUCUCUAUGUAACCCUGGGUAUCCUGGAACUUACUCUUUGGACCUGGACUCGUGCAAGCUGGAAUUAAAGUUAUAAUGCCACCACUGCCCAGGUUUCUUUUAGGUUUCCAAUUCUUCUGUAGUCAAGUUCAUCAGGUGUUUCCCUCCAGGUCCCUGGUGGUUCUGUGAAAGUCCUCCUUCCCUGACUGUGAGGCUCGGGUUAGGGCUCUGUCUGUGGACAGGAGAAAAUGUGGCACGAAAGGUAUGCUGAGUCAGCAAAGUAGGAGAGGCUGUCCAUCAGCCUGCGAUCCAGCGACACAGCACAGGGCAGACAGGGCCAGGCUCCUGUCUGGACAUCCAAGCAAGGCAGCUUAGGGACGCCAGGGGAGAAGAAGAUCUGGUGACUUCCAAGGCUUGCCUUAGGGAUCAUGGUGGGAAAUGGUGGUAAGGGGUUCAGCAGCCACAGAGCUCAAGGUCUGGUCCCCAAGGAUUCAAAGCCUGACUCACAAAAGGAAGUGAGGAGCUAGCUUUCUCCAGGGCUGGGGCCGACAGGGAAGCAUUUGCCUAUGGGAAUCGCUACAGGGCAUUUGGGAACACCCAGCAGUGGGCUGAGAGGGGUGGCCCCUGUCUACCCUGGGCCAGCAAGGGGACCUGGGAAGGCUAGAGUCUAUGCGUUUCACUCAAGAGACAAAGGCCAUGGUUCCAUUGAAGUCUGUUUAUUUUCAGAUAACACGAGUCUCACCAGCUUGCACUUCCCCAGUUGCAAACACCUAAAUUUGCUUUUUAUAAUUUAAUUCUAGAAAAGGUUCAGUGACAUGGAGCCAAGUACAAUCUCGCAUUCAAACGUGUGUUCUAGGUUAGGCAUCCUCUAAGGGUGAUGCCUGUCAAAGAUGUGUGUGUGUGCACACGUGUGCACGGGAUUUAUAAACCGUUCCCUGUUGUGCCUGUACACCCUGUUAACAGCUUGGCUUUUCUUCAUCCGCUGUCCACGUGGGCAGUGAAUGUUUGGCAAAUACAUAAUCCAGUAUAAGUCCCAUACGAUGGGAUUUCACAACCAGGCCUAACCGUGGAGAUAUUACUUAAUUUGUUAAAGUGAUAAACAAGAUUAUGAUGUGCAAACAAACAGGGCUUGUGCUCCAGCUGUGUCCAAGUUUAUUUUACCAAGUCAUAAACACAGGCCCUUUCUCCAGGCCCAGUGAUUGGGUUUCUCCUUCCUUUUGUCGGGGGAGAAGAAUGUAAAGGGGGGAGUCGGGGCCCUUGCACCGGGCUUUCCGGCUGUGACUCUUGAAGGAACCCAUUCAUCCCCACUAUUGGGCAAUGCCGCCCUCGCAGGGUCCUUCUGGGGUUUCCCAUACGCAGCCUUUGCCAAGCGGGAGAUUCGAUCUCAGCUUGACCAAGCUGGGCCCCAUACUCCAGGGACUGAGAGCCUUGUGAAACAGGCCGAAAGCCUAGGGUCUCGGGGGAAGGAGGGCCAGGGGUUGCAGCCCUCCUCCCACCUUACCCCGAACUGCUCCUCAACCAAGACUCUGUAGUGUAAUUCCAUUGGAGGCCUGGCGGUAGAAGAACGGACAGGCCCAUUCAUUAUGCUGGAAAGGUUUGGAAUGGGGUCACUCUCCCCGGCUCCUGGAAGCCUAGGGAAGAGGCGAGAGGAGGCCUCUCUCAACCAGACCCUGUGGCUUCCCAUGGGCUGAUAACUUUCCCCACAGAACCUGAGAACUCCCAAACUACCAGCAGCUCCUAGCUUCUCAGCCCUUCUUAGCAGAAGGCUUAGCAAAGAACCCGUUUGUCUUCUGUGCCCUAGGAGGGCUGUAGCUGAGGGGUCAGGCAGUGGCUCGGACCUGCUGGCUCCGCGCACCUGCUGGCUCCGCGCGGAGGCCCUUCCGUAGGCAUUACCUUCUCUUGCGAGGACACGCCUCCAGCCGGCCCAGCUCCUCAUAGGACUGGUAGAAGAUGUCAAACUCCCUGGCGCCCCAGCCCCUCCAGACAGCCAGGCACCACUCUGUGUUUUCGUUUGCAAAGCCGCACACUACGGUGUCCUUUGCCACCACUGCCGCAUCCACCAGGACCCUGCAGAGAGACGGGGUCUGAGAUCACCCACAGGAGCCCUCACUAGGUCAGGGUGGGGCCUCGCUCUUCAUGCUCCGCUCGAAGGGGGUGGAGUUACUAAGAGGGUGCGGUAAACAGCUCAGCCUGGCUCUGGAAUGCACUCGAAGGUCCAGAUUCUCCCUGGUAGUGUCGCCUAUGGGAUGGGGCCUUAUAAUGUAUCUAAAAGGCCAAGGGCAUCCAUUUACUUUUAUAAGCAUUGGCUAUAGAAUAGAAGACCACCGACUGACGCAAGCAGGGCAGGCACCCUCCAGGCGCCUCUCUGGAAUUCUGGUGUCCAGAAUGAACCACCAACUGAGUAUUACAGAACAAAGGCAAAGGUCAGAGCGAUGGGUGAAGGGGCUUGCCUCCCUAUGAGGCAAGCUUGAUGACCUAAUUCCUGGAACACAUGUCAAAGCAGGAGGGAAUCAACUCCCACUGUCUUGUGACCUCCACAGGCUCACUGUGACACAUAUCUGCACCCCACAGUGAAAACACUAGAGUGGCCCCAUGAGUGUCCUUGGUGCAGGCUCCUCUCAUUCUAUUCCCCACUGACUCAGGAAAUUCAGAGGAACACAUAAGACAAAGUCUGCUGUCUCAAAGCCAUCACUGUUUACACCGUUUUGAGGCGGUCAACUGUUUUACACAGUCUGUGUGUGCACAGCAUGUUUCUGCUCAGGCCACAACAGAUGGUUCCCUGCAUCUUCUUUGUCCUGGUAGCGUCUCUGCGGGGCUGGCGGCCCAUCUCUGAGUCUGUUGGACCUCCCCCUCCUAUACCCAGUGACUGAGCCCCACUGCCCAUGAAGGCUCUCUUUCACCAAGCUAUCGAGAGUCUCUGGUCCUUCCUUGCUUUUUCAGCUGGCCAACUUGGGUCUUUCUCCUCCUAGCAAAUGUGCCUGACCCUUGAUAAAACCUGUCUCUGGGGGGAUGACUAGAAAAGGAUACUGGUACAGUCUGAGUAGGUGUGCCAAGGUCAACCAACCUGGUUCUGAGGACCUAUUUAUUUCCAGAAGCCCAACGUGGAGGCUGGGGACUACUUCGGCACAAAGCUUCCUUUUACCAGGUUAGCCAGGGUUCAGGGGCAAAGCCUGAUCUUAUUCCAGAAUUGGUCACAGAGAAGAUCCAUUGUCCCAGGACUCACUGAGAAAGCUCAGUGCUAGCAGGCAAGUGACUGGACGUGGCAUGAGCGACUGGCUGCUUGUCACUGACUGUCCUGCUUUGGAUGACCUUUGCCCAAGGGUGAGUGACAGUGUAUGCUGCUGGCGGGUCUACUGUGAUGUGUAACACUGCACACAUGUUUGGCUUCAGGGCCUUUCACGGGGGAGCUUCAGGGUGAGGGGUGAACACUACCAGGAACUCUGGCUUAGCACCAGGCUCCCGUCUCCCGGCCAUGAAGACUGUGCCCUGAACUGGCAUCGUCACAGCAGCGACUGGCAUGUCUCACAGUCUGCAGAUUAGCAUCCAGUCACACUCUCAGGCUCAGGGACGGGAGUUGCGGAGUGGGACCAUGUCACCUGGCUCUAUCCGGUGCUUCAUGGGCUGGUAGGUCCCCCGGUAGGGGGAGGAGGAGACCUCUCCUGUUCGGUGGGAAGGACAGUGAACGAAUUUGAGAGGAUCUCGUCUCAAGCACAGCUGAAUCUGGCCCUGGAGACACACCUUCGGCAGUGUAUUUGAUCCACAGGUACACAGACACCCUGAAGUAGAUAUCCUUGGCCGGUGGUUGGUGCUGUAUUCAACUGCCAUGCUGAACCCCAGGAGCUGCCUACAGGACCCCCACCUUGCCUCUGCUCUGCUCCGUGACCACACCGGUGGAUCCAGAGUCUUAUCUCCGGGAACCCAGAAGCAGUAGGGCUGUUGUGCGGUCUAGUGGACAUGUUAGUGAGCCCCGAGGUUCCCCAUCCUCCUCCCCCGUAGCCUUACAGAAUGGUUCUCGGUCUUA